rnacentral:rRNA from 1 species
UCGCAGGCUGCAACCCGCCUGCGUGAAGUCGGAAUCGCUAGUAAUCGCGGAUCAGCAUGCCGCGGUGAAUACGUUCCCGGGCCUUGUACACACCGCCCGUCUCACCAUGGGAGUUUGUAACGCCCAAAGUCGGUGGCCUAACCUUUAUGGAGGGAGCCGCCUAAGGCGGGACAGAUGACUGGGGUGAAGUCGUAACAAGGUAAC